GAUGAACGCUAGCGGCAGGCCUAACACAUGCAAGUCGAGGGGCAGCACGUCUUCGGAUGGUGGCGACCGGCGCACGGGUGCGUAACGCGUAUGCAACCUACCUCUUACAGUGGGAUAGCCCAGAGAAAUUUGGAUUAAUACCGCAUAGUAUGCGACAUCAGCAUUGAUGACGUAUUAAACAUUCAUGGGUAAGAGAUGGGCAUGCGUUCUAUUAGUUAGUUGGAGUGGUAACGGCACCCCAAGACAGCGAUAGAUAGGGGCCCGUGAGAGGGGGAGUCCCCCACCACGUGUACGUAGAGACGACGGACCAGACUCCGUACGGGAGGCAGC
rnacentral:rRNA from 1 species